UACUACGACAACGCGGCACAGCAACCCUCCCCCAUCUCCUGACCUCUCUCCAUCCCUCCAUCUUUCUCUCAACUCUUGUCCUAACCCCUUCCCAGACCCCCCGGGGGCUGUGUUCAGUGUGGUGAAAUGUCCACGAUAUUGUAGAUGAGUGGGGGGGUGUAAACACCUAGAGCUUGACCCCAUUAUCUGUUUUACUUGAUAAUGAAUCACCUCUAUUCUACACCGUACGUUUCUAUGUGACUGUUGUGACGUUUCCACUGUUCUGAACAGGACAAAGGAGGGAGAGAGAGGGAGAGCUGGGGGAGAGAGAGCUGGGGGGAGGUAUGUCCUGAUGUAAGGCUUUCUUCACCUCCCUUUUCCUCUCUGCCUUUCCCUCUCUCCCCUCCCUCUCUCCCCUCCCUCUCUCCCUUUCCCCCUCUCUCCCUUUCCCCCUCUCCCCUCUCCCUUUCCCCCCCUCUCUCCCUUUCCCCCUCUCUCCCCUCUCCCUCUCUCCCUUUUCUCCCCUCUCCCUUUCCCCCUCUCUCCCUUUCCCCCUCUCUCUCCCUUUCCCCCUCUCUCCCUUCCCCCUCUCCCCUCUCCCUUUCCCCCCCCUCUCUCCCUUUCCCCCCCUCUCUCCCUUUCCCCCUCUCUCCCCUCUCCCUUUUCUCCCUCUCCCCUUUCUCCCUCUCUCCCUUUCCCCCUCUCUCCCUCUCUCCCUCUCUCCCUCUCUCCCCUCUCUCCCUUUCCCCCUCUCUCCCCUCUCCCUUUCCCCCUCACAGUGCCAUUCUGCAGUACCCACCUGUAUUUGUUGCCAAAGUUAGUGGGGCUGUGCACUUUUCCCCCCGUCCAAUAGCAGCGUGGCUCGAUGUGUCACUCAGUCCCAGAUGUAUGAUUGGCCCAUUCUCAACAGCUGACCCCGCCCCCCACAGAGCAGAGCUUUGUUAAAGCCCCUCCCCCCUUAGCUAAACACUUCAACUGAACUCUCUCUGUCUCUCUCUCUCUGUCUCUCUCUAUCCGUCUCUCUCUAUCCGUCUCUCUCUAUCCGUCUCUCUCUAUCCGUCUCUCUCUAUCCGUCUCUCUCUAUCCGUCUCUCUCUAUCCGUCUCUCUCUAUCCGUCUCUCUCUAUCCGUCUCUCUCUAUCCGUCUCUCUCUAUCCGUCUCUCUCUAUCCGUCUCUCUCUAUCCGUCUCUCUCUAUCCGUCUCUCUCUAUCCGUCUCUCUAUCCGUCUCUCUCUAUCCGUCUCUCUCCCUCUCUCUCCCUGUCUCCGUCUCCGUCUCUCUCUCUCUCUCUCUCUCCGUCUCUCUCUCUCCGUUUAUUUUGGUCUUUGUAUCCAGGUGUCUCCCUCCACCUGUCUGUCUCUGUAUUAAACAACACAUGGUGACAGCCAGUAUUUAUCAUCCAUGACCUGAUUUUUUUUUUUUGGCCAGGAUUCAAUCCCACAAUGCAAUGUUUACGGUAAACGCUGCAUAUGUCGGCUUAAUCUGAAAUUACCCUUUUUAGAAGAAAAGAGGAAAAAAAAGCAGUGAUACAGAAUCGGUUCUGUCUGGAAGUAGAGACCCGCUGGACUCUGAGCGCCGUGUAAAAACUGGAAGUGGAUUCUGGAAUGGCGUUUUAGUCCCUCAUCUCAUAAUAUUGAAUCACAGGAAAUGUACAAUGUCCCAAUGUGUAACCUAAAGGAAAUGAUGUCAUCAUCUAGCUGUGAGCUCAUUGGUUGGAGAUUUUGGACAAUGCGCCAUUUUUUGUAUUUUUUAAAUGGCGCAUUGUCUAAAAAAAACAGCGAUGGUAUUGAAUCCGGGCCUGUCUGGAAGUAGAGGCCCGCUGGUCUCUGAGCGUCGUGUAAAAACUGGAAGCGGAUUCUGGAAUGGGGUUUUAGUCCCUCAUCUCAUAUUGAAUCACAGGAAAUGUACAAUGUUAACCUAGAGGAAAUGUCUUCCUCCUAGCUGUGAGCUCAUUGGUGGAGAUUUUGAUCUCCCAGACAGGAAAUAACUUGUUAAAUGUUGUUUUCAUGAAGGAAGUGUGUGUCCCUACAGCUGUCCAGAGCUUUGAUCCUGGUCGGACGUUAACCUCUCUGACUGGAUCCUGGUCGGACGUUAACCUCUCUGACUGGAUCCCUGAUCCUGGUCGGCCGUUAACCUCUCUGACUGGAUCCCUGAUCCUGGUCGGACGUUAACCUCUCUGACUGGAUCCCUGAUCCUGGUAGGCCGUUAACCUCUCUGACUGGAUCCCUGAUCCUGGUCGGACGUUAACCUCUCUGACUGGAUCCCUGAUCCUGGUCGGACGUUAACCUCUCUGACUGGAUCUUGGUGGGACGUUAACCUCUCUGACUGGAUCCCGGUCGGACGUUAACCUCUCUGACUGGAUCCCGGUCGGACGUUAACCUCUCUGACUGGAUCCUUGAUCCUGGUCGGACGUUAACCUCUCUGACUGGAUCCCUGAUCCUGGUCGGGCGUUAACCUCUCUGACUGGAUCCCUGAUCCUGGUCGGGCGUUAACCUCUCUGACUGGAAGAAUUUAUUUAAUUUUCCUCUCUAAAGGCACAGCCAUUAUCAUGGAGAACGAUCUGUUGGUUAUUGAUAUAAAAACCAUCUCACUUCCUGGUUUCACUCCUCCUCCACAACUGGAAUCUGGUGCUUCAUCUCCUCCAUUAUCAUGUAAAUGUGAUCCGCUGUGAUCGAGCCCAAGAGGUCAAUGAUGUGGCGUUAGUGGAUGGAUGUGUGUGUGUGUUGACUGUUGGUUCACACAGGUGAGAGGUUAGAGUACCUCACUGUAGUUCUUGGUAAUGCCUUCGUCUGACUCAAGUGUUUCUGGGUAAUUUACUAAAUGUAACUAUAUAAAAAAAAUAUUCCACUUUUUUGAUUUUUUUACUUUGUGAAACUGGAACUUUCUGUUUAUUUUUUGGUGAUUUAAAUCUUACUCUUGUGCCAUUGGUUCACCUGGAUGCCAACAACCAAUAAAAAAGGGGAUUUUGAACACUUACUACCUACGUGUCUGUUCUCUCUGUUUUUAUUGGACACUGCAACACAUUGUGAUGGGCGGGUUUUACGUCGCCCUGUCGAAUCAGGAAGUGGAGGAUUUCUUUGACUUGAAACAUUUUUAGUGCACAUCUCCUCCUCUAAAUAUGGUUUUAGGGGCCCAGUUUUUCCCCUCCAAAAAAUAAUCUGUAUUUUGCCUAUUGAAUAGAACGGCGAGUCUCCAUUUCAACGUCGGUGAUUCGUACGCUCUAUUCAUUCUAUUUUUAAACACGUAAUCCGAUUUAUUAACUUUCGGACAACAUAGAGCUUCUACACCUCCAGGGCCUCAACUUACAUUUACCAGCCGAGGUCCUGACUGAGGACCACAGUGGGGACAGCUGGUCUCGCUGGGGUCUGACACAAAAAAAUACAUACUUUACAACUUAAACAUUUUAAGGGGGUGGAAGGUAGCCUUGGGGGGGUUAGAGUAAUUGAAAGGUUGCUAGAUCGAAUCCCUCGAGCUGACAAGGUUAAAAAAAAAAUCUGUCUUUCUGCCCUUUGAACGAGGCAGUUAAUCCACUGUUCGCUAGUAGGCCAUCAUUUGUAAAAUAAGAAUUUGUUCUUAAACUGACUUGCCUAGUUAAAAUAAAGGUCAAAUUUGAGAUGGGAGUUCCAUGGGAUAAUGUACGUUGCCUUGAAUUCGUUCUGGAUUUGGGGACUGAAGAAACCCCGAAUGGCUUUUUUAAUUUUACCUUUAUUUAACUAGGCACAUGGGGACAAAGAUUGUACUUUUUGGGGAAAUGUUCUCUGGUCUGAUGAAACAAAAAUAGAACUGUUUGGCCAUAAUGACCAUCGUUAUGUUUGGAGGAAAAAGGGGGAGGCUUUGCAAGCCGAAGAACACUAUCCCAACCGUGAAGCACGGAGGUGACAGCAUCAUGUUGUGGGGGUGCUUUGCUGCAGGAGAGACUGGUGCACUUCACAAAAUAGAUGGCAUAAUGAGGAUGUAAAAUUCUGUGGAUAUAUUGAAGCAACACCUCAAGCCAUCAGUCAGGAAGUUAAAGCUUGGUCGCAAAUGGACAUUGACCCCAAGCAUAUUUCUGAAGUUGUGGCAAAAUGGCUUAAGGACAACAAAGUCAAGGUAUUGAAGUGGCCAUCACAAAGCCCUGACCUCAAUCCUAUAGAAAAUGUGUGGCUCGAGCAAGGAGGCCUACAAACCUGACUCAGUUACACCAGCUCUUUCAGGAGGAAGGGGCCAAAAUUCACCCAACUUAUUGUGGGAAGCUUGUGGAAGGCUACCCGAAACAUUUGACCCAAGUUAAACAAUUUAAAGGCAAUGCUACCGAAUACUAAUUGAGUGUAUGUAAACUUCUGACCCACUGGGAAUGUGAUGAAAGAAAUAAAAGCUGAAAUAAAUCAUUCUCUCUACUAUUAUUCUGACAUUUCACAUUCUUAAAAUGAAGUGGUGAUCAUAACUGACCUAAAACAGGGAAUUUUUACUACGAUUAAAUGUCAGGAAUUGUGAAAAACUGAGUUUAAAAGUAUUUGGCCAAGGCGUAUGUAAACUUCCGACUUCAACUGUAUAUACCAGGCGGUGUCAGAGGAAAGCCCCAAAAAAUGAAGACUCCAGGCACCCGAGUCAGACUGUUCACUCUGCUACCGCACGGCAAGCGGUACCAGAGCGCCAAGUCUAGGACCAAAAGGCUCCUUAACAGCUUCUACCCCCAAGCCAUAAGACUGCUGAACAAUUAAUCAAAUGGCCACUCGGACAGGCGGGCUGUUUUGUGCCUUUUAUUGAGGAGUGGCUUCUGUCUGGCCACUUUACCGUAAAGGCCUGAUUGCUGGAGUACUGCAGAGAUGGUUGUCCUUCUGGAAGUUUCUCCCAUCUCCACAGAGGAACUCUGGAGCUCUGUCAGUGACCAUCAGGUUCUUGGUCACCUCCCUGACCAUGGCUCUUCUCCCCCUCGAUUGCUCAGUUUGGCCGGGUGGCCAGCUCUAGGAAGAGUCUUGGUGGUUCCAAACUUCUUCCAUUUAAGAAUGAUGGAGGCCACUGUGUUCUUGGGGACCUUCAAUGCUGCAGAAAUGUUUUGCUACCCUUCCCCAGAUCUGUGCCUCGACACAAUCCUGUCUCGGAGCUCUACGGACAAUUCCUUCGACCUCAUGGCUUGGUUUUUGCUCUGACAUCCGCUGCCAACUGUGGGACCUUAUAUAGACAGGUGUGUGCCUUUUCCAAAUCAUGCCUAAUCAAUUGAAUUUACCACAGGUGGACACCAAUCAAGUUGUAGAAACAUCUCAAGGAUGAUCAAUGAAAACAGGAAGCACCUGAGCUCCAUUUAGAGUCUCAUAGCAAAAGGGUCUGAACACUCAAGCAAAAACAAUUCUACAAACCUGUUUUUUUUUUGCUUUGUCAUUAUGGGGUAUUGUGUUUUAGAUCGAUGAAGAUAUAUUUUUAUGUAUUUAAUACAUUUUAGAAUAAGGCUGUAACGUAACGAAAUGUGUUAAAUAGGAUAAAGGGUCAUAAUGCUCUAUAUCCUGUAUUGUAAUAUAUCCUGUAUUGUAAUGUAUCCUGUAUUGUAAUAUAUCCUGUAUUGUAAUUUAUCCUGUAU
rnacentral:lncRNA from 1 species